rnacentral:tRNA from 1 species
GGAGACAUGGCCGAGUGGUUAUGGCGUUAGAUUUAGGCUCUAAUGGGUUCGCCCGCGUGGGUUCAAGUCCCACUGUCUUCA